rnacentral:lncRNA from 1 species
GAGAAACAUCACGAGUGGCCAGAAGUACUUGCUUUCCUUCAUGUUAUUUUACCCAUAGUGCUCAGAAUAGCACCUGGCUCAUGCUAGAUAAUAACAUGCUUGUGAAUAAAUACAAAGGAAAUAUGGCCGAAUGAAAUAGCACUGGCACUGAAGAAUGGACUCCUGAAUAAUUUAAAAAUAUUACUCUGCACGAAUAUCGGUGACUUUCCCUACCUGUCCUCUAAAGACGUUCACGUUGGUCUUGGGGCACUUGG